rnacentral:lncRNA from 1 species
CACACACACACACACACACACACACACAAACUGCUUUUAAGAGAAAGUUGUCACUUGAGCAAAAACUUUCAUCUUUAGCUGAUCCAAUGACGGGAAGCUAUUUGGCAUAGACUUAGUAAAACCUUCACGCAAAACCAGCAGAGGAACUGCCAGAGCUUCCAUAUAGGGUGUAACUUGAGGAGUCAUCCUGAUGCUGGAAGAGCCGUCCAGCUUUCCAGAAGGAGGCCAGUAAAAAGCGGGGAGAGUCUAGAGGGGGACCGAUGUAUCCUACUUUGGAAAAGUUGUUUGCAUUCCACACACUUGUUCUAUCUCUCUUUAAUGAAGACAAAGCACCACCGGUGGAAGAAAUCCUUGUCAUAGCCUCACCCCAAAGGGACCGGCAGGGUUUGACAAAGCCAACGCCCCAGUUAUUUAGCAUCCUUCAGAGAUGAUAAGAUACUCAGGAGAAGGUAUUCAGGACCCACACUUUGUGUCCUGCUACAAGAGAUGGCCAGAGACGGAGUACACUAUAGAGCGCCAAGGAAAUAAGAUACUUCUCAAAUCUCAUCAUCAGGCGGCUGAAGAUGACCACAGCCCUAUCAGUGUGCAGAUGGAACGGCAGAUUUUCAACACCGUGUUUGCUGUUGGAGCCCUGAGCCACAAUGAAAAGUGGACUAUCUGGCCAGAGAGACUCUUGGAGAGAGAACGAUGCCGAGUCAGCCCUAGCUGUGACAGUCAGACUCUUGGAGGAGCCCCACAUGGGAGUCAAGAAGCACUCCUUAAGUUCAGCCCCUGUCCAGCCACAAGGUCUACCCACAGAAGCAUAAAAACAAUAAAAUGUUGUUUUAAGCUACAAAGUUUGAGUAAAUGGUGUGUCAAACAGUACUAGAUAACUGAAACAACCAUGAGUGUAUCUGUGUGUGACAUCCACUGAAAUUCUCCAACUUUGCUCUUGUAUUUUUGUUUUUAUUUUUUUAAUUAUAG